GUACCCUCCAGCCCUGCUGGGUGUUGGGCGUUUUGUUCCGCUGCGCGCGUGAACUCGCCUCAAAUGCAUUGGCAGCCCGCCGUCCUGUGUGGGAGCGCAGCACAUUUUGCGCUCUCCACUGCUGACGGUGGCAUCCACAAGUCUACCAUUUUAC
rnacentral:misc_RNA from 2 species